AUUGAACGCUGGCGGCAGGCCUAACACAUGCAAGUCGAACGAGUCGCGGACGGGAGAGUAAUGCUUGGGAAUCUAGCUUAUGGAUGGGGAUAGCUACGGGAAACUGAUGCUAAAUCCGCCUACCUUAGGAUGAGCCCGAGUGGGAUUAGGUAGUUGGUGAGGUAAAGGCUCACCAGGCCGACGAUCUCUAGCUGGUCUGAGAGGAUGACCAGCCAAACUGGUACUGAGACACGGUCCAGACUCCUACGGGAGGCAGCAUUGGGGAAUAUUGCACAAUGGGGGCAAGCUGACUCAGCCAUGCCGCGUGAAUGAAGAAGGUCUUCGGGUUGUAAAGUUCUUUCAGUAGCGAGGCGUUACCUACAGAAGAAGCACCGGCUAACUCCGUGCCAGCAGCCGCGGUAAUAC
rnacentral:rRNA from 1 species